UGUCACGGUAUGAAUAAGCAGUUCUUGGCCUGUGGAGCCAGCAGUGCUGUCAAGCCAUUGAUGUACAACACUCUGGCCUUUGUUCCCCUGUACACAAACACGGUUGCCACAUUAAUAUUUCACAGGAAAUGUACUCUCUGCUCCUGAUUUAAAGCCCUUUCUUGUUAACAGCGCUGUUUGCCUCAUUCGGCCGCUCUGACGUAUGCGGCUUACAGGCCCACAUUUGUCCCUGCCUGCGCACUGUCGUUUAGGAUCAUACCAUAUUUAUUUUUCAUAGCAAAGUGUUUGGGGUAAGAGAUUUAAGAAUGAAGUCUCUUUAUGGCCAUGUCCCUUAAGUACCCUAAUUUGAUUGUAAUUAAAAAUCAUUGUGCUCAUCUGCGGUUUGCUGGUAAGAUUCAUAAUUUGCAAUCAUUCGUAAAUUGUUUUUCUUUUGGCCAUGUGUCUGUGUUUGUGUUGUGAUAAAGUCAGUGUAGUGUGAUCAUUUGUUAUAAAGGGAACGGAAGCACUGUAGAGCCCAAUAAAAAAAACAAGGGAUCAAUAGAUUCUCCCCGCAAGAGUGAAACAUAACAGAAGCAACUAAAGCCUUUUAUGAGAGAAACAAUACAUUAUUCAUGGCAAACUCUCUUUUGUUCUGCUUUGUUGUGUCUUAUACAGAUGGGAUUACAGAAGGCUAGAUCUUGGAAACAUAUGAAAGAUUAAUACGUGAAUGGGGACAUGGUUUGCUUACGAAAGGACUAAAUAAUUAUUCUUUCACAGUGAGCGGUGGAAGAGCUCCAGAGAUGGAGAACCAGGAGCACACUUUGACUGCAGAAUGAGACGGUGAAGUCAGAGUCGGCCCCAGCCGAGAGUGACCUUGAUCUGGCAGACACCGCUGAGUCUAUAUCUGGAACUUAAGACUUUUUUAGGUACCUGUAAAUGUGGAAGGUCUGAGCUGCAACCGAAGCUGACUGUAAUGUAAGAUUAUCAGCGACGGGGUCACAUGAGGACAGUUAUCUCCGAGUUCGUCCACAUAGCUUUCAUACGGCCCUGCUGUCGCCCUGUUUUGCAUCCAGGCUCAGAGCCACCCGGCACAGAGAGAGGAUUACAGGCAGUUCUAUGAAAAAGUCAGAAUUAUGAGAUACCAUAUAAACUUGAGUUAACUCACAAUUUGGAGAUAUAAAUUUGCAAUUCUGAGAAGAAAAGUCAGAAGCUAACACUUCAGAGGUGUUAUUUCACUUUCUGGGCUGUUUUGAAUGUGCAGUAAAAAAUGUGGACAUUGCCAAGGACACAUUCCAGAAAACAAGGAUGUCUGGUCACCCAACUUAAAGUUCAUGUGGUCUGUAUUUGUCGUGAGCAUAAACUCUAUGCUAACACAACACCCUGACCCAGGUCAUAGCAGUAGCAUUGAGGCCAGCUGGCACAACUUUACAGGGGACUGACUCACCAGCAAACAAGCCCCGCUGUCGGAAAAAGCCAGACAGCAGUGUUAAUUAGAGGAGCAGGGAGAUAGAAGCGGCAGGGGCAGAGCUGAUGAAUGCCUGCUUGGUUUGACUUUGGUGGGGAGUAAGGCAAGCUUUACAGUUAAAAGAGGCUAAAUGGAUGACAAGCGUUUGCUUGUACGGUAAGCUCACAUUAUGAUGCUUAGGCAUGAAUGAGGAUGUGAAGCUGCACCAGAUCGACUCACUGCACAGGCACCAUGUGAUGAUGAGAUGCUCGGGCCUGGUUUCGCCACUGUUGUCUGUGAUAAAGAGGGGCUUUUGGAAGGGACAUCACUGACUGCAAUCAUCUGACACCUGUUAAAUGAUUUUUACAUGUUUUUCAUGCCUGAAAGACACCAGUUAACCACCUGGAUUUUAUUUAAGUAUAAGUGAGUGGGCUAAGCUGUGUCUCUUUUUUUUUUGGUUAAUGCAUAAAUUGUCCUCUCUAAUCAAGAAGAUAUUUUUGGAUGUCAGCUAUCAGAUGAAAUUAGAAUGAAAUUACAAGAAAAAUGUCUGUAAAAUUUUAAAUGCCAUCUUGCCAUAUAUAUAUAUAUACAUACACACUAUCAUUUAAAAGUUCUUAUCGGCAUCAAUAAGAUUGAUCAAAAGUGACAGUAAAGACUUA